CUGGCGACCGGCGCACGGGUGAGUAACACGUAUCCAACCUGCCGAUAACUCGGGGAUAGCCUUUCGAAAGAAAGAUUAAUACCCGAUGGCAUAAUUAGACCGCAUGGUCUUAUUAUUAAAGAAUUUCGGUUAUCGAUGGGGAUGCGUUCCAUUAGGUUGUUGGUGAGGUAACGGCUCACCAAGCCUUCGAUGGAUAGGGGUUCUGAGAGGAAGGUCCCCCACAUUGGAACUGAGACACGGUCCAA
rnacentral:rRNA from 1 species